rnacentral:rRNA from 1 species
ACUAAUCCCAGCUCGACUAUAAUUAAUACAACUAGCACCUCUAAUUAAAAUAAACCAUUCAAAACCCUUAAAAGUAUAGGAGAUAGAAAUUUAACUCGACGCUAUAGAGAGAGUACGCAAGGGAACUAUGAUAUAAAGUAUAAAAAAGCAAAGAUUACACCUUUUACCUUUCGCAUAAUGAUUUAGCCAGAAAAAAUUUAGCAAAGAGGACUAGAGUUAAAUACCCCGAAACCAGACGAGCUACCCAAGAACAGCCCAAGGGGGCAAACUCAUCUAUGUGGCAAAAUAGUGAGAGGAUUCCUGGGUAGGGGCGAUAAACCAACCGAGCCUGGUGAUAGCUGGUUGUCCAGUAAAUGAAUUUCAGUUCAAGUUCAAACUUGCCAGAAGACAAUAGAAAGUCCAAUGUAAGCCUGAACUAUAGUCUAAAAGGGUACAGCCUUUUAGACACAGGAUACAACCUUUAUUAGAGAGUAAAUAGCAAACAAACCAUAGUUGGCCCAAAAGCAGCCACCCAUUAAGAAAGCGUUCAAGCUCGACAAUCUCAACAUCUUAAUUACAAGCACGAAUUACAACUCCUAAUAUAGCACUGGACCACUCUAUUAUUAAAUAGAGGCAAUACUGCUAAUAUGAGUAACAAGAAGGCACUUCUCCCUGCAUAAGCAUAUACCAGAACGAAUAACUCACUGGUAGUUAACAAAACUUAAAUUUAACCCACAUAUAAAUUUCUCAAGCUUUAACAUGUUAGUCCAACACAGGUAUGCACAACAAGGGAAAGAUUAAAAGAGAUAAAAGGAACUCGGCAAACACGAACCCCGCCUGUUUACCAAAAACAUCACCUCUAGCAUCAAAAGUAUUAGAGGCACUGCCUGCCCAGUGACACUAGUUCAACGGCCGCGGUAUCCUGACCGUGCAAAGGUAGCAUAAUCACUUGUUCUCUAAAUAAGGACUUGUAUGAAUGGCCACACGAGGGUUCAACUGUCUCUUAUCUCCAAUCAGUGAAAUUGACCUCCCCGUGAAGAGGCGGGGAUAAAUCAAUAAGACGAGAAGACCCUAUGGAGCUUUAAUUAACUAGCCUAAAGAGAUCAAACAUAAAUCUAUUAGAGACAACACAACUCUAACUAGGCCAGCAAUUUAGGUUGGGGUGACCUCGGAAUAAAAAAUAACUCCCGAGUGAUUUAUAUUUAGACCUACCAGUCAAAAUAAAACUAAUCAUUUAUUGACCCAAACACUUGAUCAACGGACCAAGUUACCCUAGGGAUAACAGCGCAAUCCUAUUCAAGAGUCCAUAUCGACAAUAGGGUUUACGACCUCGAUGUUGGAUCAGGACAUCCUAGCGGUGCAGCCGCUGCUAAGGGUUCGUUUGUUCAACGAUUAAUAGUCCUACGUGAUCUGAGUUCAAACCGGAGUAAUCCAGGUCGGUUUCUAUCUAUUACACGCCUCCCCCAGUACGAAAGGAUAAGGGGGGCAGGGCCUACGCUACAGCGCGCCCUCAAUCCAACAGAUACUAUAAUAUAAAUCUGAAAGUACAUAAAACACCAACCCUAGACCAGGGUUU